rnacentral:rRNA from 1 species
UGGUUCCUUAGAUCAUACAAACUACACGGAUAACUGUAGUAAUUCUAGAGCUAAUACGUGCAACUACGUCCGGACCCGUAAGGGAAUGGAGGCAUUUAUUAGAACAGAACCAACCAGGACGGCUUCGGUCGUUCCUGUCUUGAACUGUGAUGACUCUGGAUAACUUUCAAUGAUCGCAGUCGGCCUUGAGUCGGCGACGGAUCUUUCAAGUGUCUGCCCUAUCAAUUUGUUGGUAGGUGAUUUGCCUACCAUGAUUAUAACGGGUAACGGGGAAUCAGGGUUCGAUUCCGGAGAGGGAGCCUGAGAAACGGCUACCACAUCUAAGGAUGGCAGCAGGCGCGAAAAUUACCCACUCUCAGUACGAGGAGGUAGUGACGAAAAAUACGGAUACGGGACUCUAUCGAGGCCUCGUAAUCCGAAUGAGUACAAUAUAAAACCUUUAACGAGGACCAAUUGGAGGGCAAGUCUGGUGCCAGCAGCCGCGGUAACUCCAGCUCCAAUAGCGUAUAUUAAAGUUGUUGCAGUUAAAAAGCUCGUAGUUGGAUCUGGGUUGUGUGGUUACAUGUCGUUUUUGUCCAUUGGACCUAGUGUAGUCUAGGGAAGGUGGGCGAGUCGAUGUGGUGAUCGUUCAACUUUUCAGCCGUGUCUGCCAAAAGCAGGUGUUAGUGGGCUAGUGGGUUUUCCCAUGAACUCAUUAGCAUGCCUUCAGAUGCUCUUAACCGGGUGUCGGGAGCGGACGGCAUAUUUACUUUGAA